rnacentral:rRNA from 1 species
UACGGGGGGGGCAAGCGUUGUUCGGAAUUACUGGGCGUAAAGCGUGCGUAGGCGGUUCGUUAAGUUCGUUGUGAAAGCCCCGGGCUCAACCUGGGAAUGGCAAUGGAAACUGGCGGGCUGGAGUAUGGCAGAGGGGGGUGGAAUUCCGCGUGUAGCAGUGAAAUGCGUAGAGAUGCGGAGGAACACCGAUGGCGAAGGCAGCCCCCUGGGCCAAUACUGACGCUCAGGCACGAAAGCGUGGGGAGCAAACAGG